rfam:Oryza sativa (indica cultivar-group) chromosome 2, whole genome shotgun sequence.
AAUAAGUGCAGUUUUACACUAUUUACGUUCAACGUUUGACCGUUCGUCUUAUUUAAAAAUUUUCGCUUGCAUCCUCUGUUUUACCGUGGCUGCUGGCACAUUAUGAUUAGUACUUUUAUUGCUAUUAGAUGUUAAAACAUAGAUAAUACUUUAUGUGUGACUAAAUAUUUUUAAAAUUUUUAAAUAAGACGGACGAUCAAACGUUGGAUACGGAUAUUCAGGCUACAUUUAUU